rnacentral:misc_RNA from 1 species
CCGAGUUUACAACUCCCAAACCCCAGUGUGAACGUUACCGAAACCGUUGCCUCGGCGGGGGAACCGCGCCCACCUGGUGGGCGACGCGCCCGCCGCCGGAGGACCCAACCAAAAAACUCUCUCUCCUCGCGCGAGUCCCCCCAGCGGGACGAGCGCGUCCCUUUACACUCCCUGAGCAAAAACAAAACAUUCGGGCGCGCCCCCCAGCGGGCCGCCUCGAAAAUGAAUCA